rnacentral:rRNA from 1 species
AGUAGCCACGGGAAUACGAAGGGUGCAAGCGUUACUCGGAAUUACUGGGCGUAAAGCGUGCGUAGGUGGUUGUUUAAGUCUGCUGUGAAAGCCCUGGGCUCAACCUGGGAAUUGCAGUGGAUACUGGGCGACUAGAGUAAGGUAGAGGAUAGUGGAAUUUCCGGUGUAGCAGUGAAAUGCGUAGAGAUCGGAAGGAACAUCUGUGGCGAAGGCGACUAUCUGGGCCAUUACUGACACUGAGGCACGAAAGCGUGGGGAGCAAACAGGAUUAGAUACCCCUGUAGUCCCUGUCUCUUAUACA